rnacentral:rRNA from 1 species
AGAGUCUGAUCCCGGCUCAGAAUCAACGCUGGCGGCGCGCCUAACACAUGCAAGUCGAACGAGAAAGGGGGAGCAAUCCCCUGAGUAAAGUGGCGUACGGGUGAGUAACACGUGGGUCAUCUACCCUUUAGUGGGGAAUAACCCUGGGAAACCGGGGCUAAUACCGCAUAAGCCCGAGAGGGGAAAGCCGAAAGGCGCUGAAGGAGGAGCCCGCGGCCGAUUAGCUAGUUGGUGGGGUAAUGGCUCACCAAGGCGACGAUGGGUAGCCGGCCUGAGAGGGCACACGGCCACACUGGCACUGAAACACGGGCCAGACUCCUACGGGAGGCAGCAGUGGGGAAUCUUGCACAAUGGGGGAAACCCUGAUGCAGCGACGCCGCGUGAGCGAUGAAGCCCUUCGGGGUGUAAAGCUCUUUCGGCAGGAACGAUAAUGACGGUACCUGCAGAAGAAGCUGCGGCUAACUACGUGCCAGCAGCCGCGGUAAUACGUAGGCAGCAAGCGUUGUUCGGAAUUACUGGGCGUAAAGAGUAUGUAGGCGGUUCUGUAAGUUCGGUGUGAAAUCUCCCGGCUCAACUGGGAGGGUGCGCCGAAAACUGCAGGGCUAGAGUGUGGGAGAGGAAAGCGGAAUUCCUGGUGUAGCGGUGAAAUGCGUAGAUAUCAGGAGGAACACCGGCGGUGUAGACGGCUUUCUGGACCAUUACUGACGCUGAGAUACGAAAGCGUGGGGAGCAAACAGGAUUAGAUACCCUGGUAGUCCACGCC